rnacentral:lncRNA from 1 species
UAAAAUAAAAAUUACAAUAAUUUAAAUAACUAAAAUUUUGAAAUAACAUUAAUUAAAAGAAUUACGAUAAUUUAAAUCUACAGCUUUAGCUUUUGCUUCAGCGAUAGAAUUUGUUGAGGUGCUAAAUUCCUCGAUUCCUUUGGCGACGCGUUCCAUUGCUUCGUAGUAUUGAGUCUUCUCCGACGAGGACUCCACUUUCUUCCUCUUGGCUUUAUCGCGCUUUGUUGUUUUCUGGUCUUGGGGCCUCGUCAUGAUACUUGGUUAGGAAGAUGUUAUCAUGGCCUGUCUUUCUGAGCCCUUGGACUUCUUCGAUGAGUGCACGGCCUGGGACGCGAAAUUGUGACAUUCGCGCAAAAUCAUCCAAGCUUUGAAAUGUUUGAAUCUGAUUCCAAUGUUGGCCUCGUAUAUCUCUUGCGCCUGUUUAGUGAUUUGCUCAUCACUCAUUCCAUUACCCCAUUUGACUUUACAUUUCCCGUUGAUUGCCUCCCACAACUUAACGUCCUUUUGGACGCGUUGAAAGUGAGACUUGAUUGGCCUGUUGUCACGAACAGAAGCCCCCUUCAGAUUUGGUGUCAUUGAAUCUCCGGGUGAUAUCUCCCCAAUAUUGGGUAGCCUUUUGGCCCCUCCCCAUUAUUGAGUCGUGGCUAGCCUCCGCCCACAACAUAUAAAUGAGCUCCGUCUCUGUCGAGGUGUACUCGGUGUGGGGCUUCAACGUCUUUGGCUUCGAGGCUUCGACAUCGUCGUCUUUAACGAUUGGCCUUGGGUUCGCCGGGGUUGGAAGAGAGCCCGCAAAGAGAUAUUCGAGCCUUGAGAGAAAGACGUGAACCCCAUCAUCAGGUUAAAACUAGGAACACCUGAUCAGCCUUGAGCGUAAUUCUUCAUGUAGUCGUCAAAUUGGCGAUCGAUUUUUUGAAUUAAUUAUAUGAAAGAAUAAGAUCGAAAAGUGAGGGAAGAAGAGGGAAUUGUUAUAUUGAAUGUAGAAAAAGAAGUAGAGAAGAAAUAGUAUUUA